CUCUUGUAUUUUGUUCUUUCUCAUAAGUGAAGCCUUGCAUGCCCCAUGGAGGUAGGCCUUUGGGCCAAACCACGUACAUGAUUGAGUGUUUGUUUUUCUUCUUCUUUCUUUUUGUCGCAACAAGAUGGUACCAGAUCUCCUACAAGUGGUAUUAGAGCGAGGUAGUACCAAGGGUUGUGGUAGAAGUGAUCAAGAUUGAAGAAGAUAGGGAAG
rnacentral:lncRNA from 1 species